UAAUAUGGGUGUCUGUUGGGGUUAUGUGUGUGUAAAGAUUGGUCUUUUCAAAUAUGUAUAUUUAAACCUGUCUUCUGGAAACAGGUUCUUGAACCUAUCUUUAGGAUACAGUUUUUGACUGGGAUAUAAGAAAUGAAACAUGUUUGUUUGUUUCCUUUUUGUUUGUUUGUUUGCAUCAUCAGCCAUACUCAUGGCUUAUCCUACGCAUUGUUCCUCUCAUCAGCUGAAACUGUUUCUCCCCAAUAAGUGAGCAAUCUUAAACAUUUUCAUCACUCUUUAACAAAAUCCAUUCUCAAUAUUCUUUUUGCUGAAUUCGUAUAUUGUAUAUGCUCAACAUAUUAUUUGUUUUAAACUUGACUCCAUCCAGAGCAUUGUUCUAUAGAGUUUUCCUGUAUUUAUCAGAGUCAUGUGGUAUUUUUCUUGAUGACCUUAGGCAACAAUAUAGUGUUAUCAGUCAUCAUUUUAAUAUGAUUUAAAAUGUGGACCACAGCCUGCCUUCUUUAGUUUAAAUCUAGGCCAAGCAUGGUGGCUCAUGCCUAUAAUCUCAGCACUUUAGGAGGCUGAGGCAGGAGGAUCACUGGAGCCUAGGAGCUCAAGACCAGCCUGGGCAGCAUAGUGGGCUCCACCUCUACAAGACAUUAAAAAAUUAGCCUUGUGUGCUGGCAAGCGCCUGUAGUCCUAGCUGCUCGGGAGGCUGAGGCAAGGGGUUUGCUUGAGCCUAGAGAUCAAGGCUGCAGUAAGCUGUGAUUGCACCACUGCACUUCAGCCUAGGUGGCAGAGUUAGACCCUGUCUCCAAAAAUACAUUUUUUUAAAUUUAAAUCUGGCAGUUUCUAGGCCAGUGGUUCUUAAUGGAUAUUACAGAUCAGACUUCUCUGUGGAGUUUAUAAAUAUACAGAUAUGUAGGCACUGCUUUGGACUUCAUGAAUCUCUUUGCUUGAUAUUCUUGGUAUUAAAAAAUUAUGUCUGAGGAUUAUUAUGUUAUAUCCUAAAAAUUUUUCUGCAUAGAAAUUUGUCCAUUUAUCUUUAUAUACCAGAUCCAAUAUUCAGACUUAUUUGAAAAUAGGCUUAAUCAUUAUCCUGAGGGACAUUUUGUCUAAAAUUUGCUUGGAAUGGCUUUAUUAUCUUUGUUUUGCCUGCCACAAAAACAACAAAAUCUCCUUUCAAUUGAGUUAUUUUUAUCAUGAACUCUCUUUAGACUGUUCACAUUUGAAAAUUAUAACUAAUAUUUGCCUCCAGAAAAGUACAUCUGUUUGCUAAUAUUAGUUCCUGGUGACUUUCAGUGAACGUUUUGCAAACUUGAAUUAGGCAACAUUUUAAAGAAGAAAAAAACAUGACUAACAUGCUAAAUUUAAAACAUAAAAGUAGAUCUCUUAGAGCCUUGAAGCUUGUAAUCAAUAGAAUUUUCCUAAUUAAAAAGCAUUGGGUAAAUUAUCUACUACUUCCAAUGACUUUUGCAGGUACAGCCUCUGUAUGGAAAUAAUCUUUAAUUUUUUAUAGGUAUAACAGAGAAGAACGCAUUAACAUUUAAGAUGUUUAAUUCCAAAUAGGAAAUAAUUCAGUUUUCUGUGUUAAGAAAUGUAAGGCCAUCCUAGAGUAUAGGAGUUACGUGAUUUUCUUCUGUAUAAAAAUCUCAUUUAAUAGUGGCUGUAUUAUCAGAUACUUAUUUGAUUAUAGUAAUUCAUCAGACACAUCUCCUUCGUUUGGUGAUUAUCUCAUUGAUCUUUGUCACACGUGAGUGAUUUCUAAACACAUUGCAGGAUUUGGACCUGUAAAGCCAGUGGCUUUAGUGAUAAGUAAAAGGGCACAUUCAACAAUAUUUACCUUUGUCUUAAUGCCCAUAAUCUUAUGAACUGAAAAUUCAGAAGGAAAAGAACAAAUAGAAAGCUACUAAUUCAAUAUUUGUUUUUCAUGGUACGGUUUUCAUGUUUCCUUGGAAACAUAUUUUGCAAAUAUAACAAUAAUAGUAAUAACACAAUUUUGUCAUUUAAAAAAUUACCCAUUCAUUUUUCAAACUUGACUGUUAGUGGAGGGGUAUAUGUGUGUCUGUGUUUCCACUUAUGUAAUGGCUGUCUCAUUAUUUAAAUUAAUUUAUAAUUAUUUUUCAGUGUACAGAGUGAUUAGCGGCUUGUAAUGCUGUUACAAUGUAGCAUUGUAAUGUAAGAUGAAGAAAAAUUAGGAUUUAGGUGGGAUUUUUAAAAAUUUAUCAAUUCAGCUACUUUUUAAAAGAAGUCCUAUUCCAAUUGGACCUUUAAAAUUUUUAUUUUGGUAAUAUUUCAACUUAAGAUGUAUUAAAACUAGCAAUUCUGUGGUAAUCAGUGUACUAGUCAACAUUAAAAUGCUAUUUUGGGUUGUCUUCUUUUGGUAACAUAUUCUGACACUAAGCAACAUGUUUUACAAUUUAGUGGGAUGAACCUACAAAUUCAUAAAUGCUUCUCUUUAUUUUGAAGGAAAAAGAUACUUGUCUGUAUACGACAUAAUUGUUUUACUCUUCAGAAUGUGAAAGUUAUAUUAAUCACUAAACACUUUAAGAAGUGGUUCUGGUAGGAUAUCAGUAGUCAGACUUAAUUGAAAAACUGUCAGCGUCUGUUUUGUAUAUAGGGAUUAAAGAGGAUAACUUUAUUUUUUCCUUUGGAAAGAAUAAUUCUUUUGGAAUUUUGGAAUUUUGAUUUUCUUAGAUGACUUUUUAGCAAUUUAAUGAUAAUAAUUUCUAUUUUUCUUCCAAAACUAUGGCAUGUUAUAGUAGAUCUUACUAUUAAAGAUCUUUUAUAUUUUAAACUGUUUUUUUCCUAUUCUGCUUUUUGCUGCUCUCAAAGACUGUGAUUGAUGAACAUCACCAAACUUUUUUUGUGGCAAACUGCUUAUUUUAUAAGUAGCUUUAUAUAAGAAAACUUCUUAGAAAACUAUGUGGCUGGUUGGUUCCAUUUAGAAACUCUUAACAGGUAUGGCUUUCAUUCCUCCAGUUGUUUGCUUUUAUAGACUUGGAGCAAAAAAUAUAGCAAAAAGUAAUCAUAUCUGGCUAGAUAGCCAUUUCUCUCAGAUUCAUUGCUAUAAAAAUGAAUCUACUGAGGCAUAAAAAUAUGAAACAUAUUUAAUUCAUCUCUUUUGUCAGUUUUUCUGGGACUCCAAUAGCAUUUCAGUGUUAUAGAGAGUGACAGUGACUUGAAUGCAUGUAUAUGCACAUAGUCAAUUCAGAGCGUAAUAACUAAAAAUUCAGAAUGACUUGUUUUUUGAAAGUACUUGGAAAUUGUGCUGCUACUUAAAUAUUGAAGGAAUUCAGAAAGUUGUGUAUUUAUCUUAAAAUGUUCCUUCUCACUUAUUCUACUGGAAUUGACCAUGAAAAAGAAAAUAUUAUGCCUUAUUUAUAUCUAAUUAUUGACUGUGCAAACUGUGACUCAGUGGAUAUUUGUAUGCCCCCCAAAAACAUUUUAAAGCUGAGCAAUUUUUAAUAAAGAUGUAUAAAUAAUUUUGAUUAUUCUCAUUGUAGUUAAGUUACUGUUAGUUUGGUGCAAUACAUUCUUUCCUUCCUCAUCCUUUUAAAAUUAAAUAUAUAAGAUGUAUGUUUUGUUUUAUUACAUUAAGUGCUAUUUUUAAAAAAUUCAUUGUGUGUAUAUGAGCUAAUACUUGAUUUGUUUCUGUAUAGCAUGAUUAAAGAUAAUUGAAAAUUUUGCACUUAUUUUAGGCCC
rnacentral:lncRNA from 1 species